GCGGAUGUGGCGGAAUCGGCAGACGCGCUAGUUUCAGGUACUAGUGGUGGUGACAUCGUGGAGGUUCAAGUCCUCUCAUCCGCACCA
rnacentral:tRNA from 2 species